CCUGCCUCAGCCUCCCAGAGUGCUGGGAUUACAGGCAUGAGGCACCAUGCCCAGCCUCAUUUUUACUUUUAUACACUCUUUGUAAGUAAUACUUUAAGACUCCUUAAAGAAUCAGGAAUGACAUGUCUACUAUGUAAAAUUGCUGGUACCUUGAAAUUGCUUAACUUUAUAGUAGUGAAGUAAAAACUUCCCUGGAUACAGUGUUGCUUGUGUAAGUUUAAACAAUAAUUAUUGUUUUCCUAAUUUUUUUAAGGAUUAAAUUGAAAACAAGUAUUUAAAGAAAAUAAAUCUUAUUUUAGAAGUUAAUACUACAAUACCAUUUUUGUGUUUUAGCUAGAAGAACCACACCUCUUUUGGAAUAUAUUAAAAAUAGAAAAUUAGAAAAGCAGAGAAUUCGAGAAGAGAAGCGAGAAGAGCGGAGGAGGAGGGAGCUAGAGAAGAAACGCUUGCGA